rnacentral:rRNA from 1 species
UACGGAGGGGGCAAGCGUUGUCCGGAUUUACUGGGCGUAAAGAGCGCGUAGGUGGUCCAUUAAGUCGGCUGUGAAAUCGCUGGGCUUAACCCAGCAAUGUCAGUCGAUACUGGUGGACUCGAGUCCGGGAGAGGGAAGUGGAAUUGCUGGUGUAGCGGUGGAAUGCGUAGAUAUCAGCAAGAACACCGGUGGCGAAGGCGGCUUCCUGGACCGGUACUGACGCUGAGGCGCGAAAGCUAGGGGAGCGAACGGG